GAAAACAAUAUUUUGUGUCGAUUACAUCGCUAGAAUAAUUUUAUCAUUACAAUUUUUUACAAUUAUAACGCGCUUUUACAUUUAUUAAUUUAUUUUAUCAAUUGUAACCAACAUAACGUGUUUCUAAAAAAAUUAGCAACGGUAAGCAGCGAAUUAAAAGUGAAUAGAAUGCAGCCAUUGAUGCAUCGACCAUCAACUAUAUAGUGUAGAUGUCGCUAUAAAGUGUAUACAAAUAUUCUUGAUCAGCGACAACUGCCGAGGCGAUAUAAAAGAUGAGAACGACAUCGAAGUCGACGAUGCGGGAUAUUUAAAAGUGAAAUAACGAAGCACAAAAUCAAAUGCAGAGAUAUCGCAUAUUACUUUUUUUUGUAAAUUCAAUUAUCCAUGAAGGAUUUUAUUUAACUAUUUUUAAAUGCUCAAUGAAGAGAGCAAAAGUGUUGCCACAAAUUAAAUUUUAGAAAUAUCGGUGAUCUAUUACUAAGUGCGGCCAAAAAUGAAAUGCUUUGGAAAAAAAAGUCUCUGGAAAAGGUGCACAAAAAUAUGCUUCCGAAUUGAAACCGACAUAGCAAAUAGAAGGCAGAAAGUGAGCUGAGAUUGGCACAGAAAAGUGAGGAAAUUGCCGAGCAACAAUUGGAAGAACUUCAAGCACAAUUGGAUUAAAAACGCAGUCAAGGAAAACAGAAGGCGAACAGCAACUCGACGAAACUCAAUUUCGCGGAAAUAUCCAUUUGUUUUUUGAAUCGUUUUGCAAGAAGAUUAUUUAUUAUUUAUUUAUUAGAAUAUUUUAAGAAAUCAUUUUUUUUUGCUUCCUCAAAUUUUGAUUUUAACAACGUUAAUUCUUUUUCCUUUUUAACCUUUUGGGAACGCAUCUUAUUGUAAUGUUUUUAUGCGCAUUCUUUGUUGCUUGGCAAGUUUUUCACUUGUCUGUGCCAAUUUCAGAUCACUUUCGGUCUUCCUAUUUCCUAUGUCAGCAACUUUUUUUUUUCAAUUCGUUUAUCAAAUUCUCGUAAAUUUCUAUUUGUUUUUUGAAUCGUUUUGCAAAACUAAUAAAUAAAU